UACAGAGGGUGCAAGCGUUGUUCGGAAUUACUGGGCGUAAAGCGUGCGUAGUCGGUAUUGAGAGUCGCGGGUGAAAUCCCAGGGCUUAACCCUGGAACUGCCUGCGAGACCUCAGUACUAGAGUGUGAGAGGGGAUAGUGGAAUACCCAGUGUAGCGGUGAAAUGCGUAGAGAUUGGGUGGAACACCGGUGGCGAAGGCGAGUCUCUGGACAUUUCCUGACGCUGAGGCACAAAAGCCAGGGGAGCAAACGGG
rnacentral:rRNA from 1 species